rnacentral:rRNA from 1 species
CCCAGUUCGGAUCGCAGGCUGCAACCCGCCUGCGUGAAGUUGGAAUCGCUAGUAAUCGCGGAUCAGCAUGCCACGGUGAAUACGUUCCCGGGCCUUGUACACACCGCCCGUCACACCAUGAGAGUCGGGAACACCCGAAGUCCGUAGCCUAACCGCAAGGGGGCGCGGCCGAAGGUGGGUUCGAUAAUUGGGGUGAAGUCGUAACAAGGUAUC